CAGGAGGAAGAAUUCAUCGACUGGUGGAGCAAGUUUUAUGCUUCCAUAGGAGAGAGGGAAAAAUGUGGCUCCUACCUGGAAAAGGGCUUUGACACCUUGAAGGUCUACGAGUCGGAGCUGGAGGAGGUGGAGGAGUUCGAGCACCUCUGUGAUUUCUGCCACACCUUCCCCCUGCUCCGGGGCCGCAGCCGCGACUGCAGCGACGACCCCUCGGUCGUGGGAGAGUUCAAGGGUUCCUUCAGGAUCUACCCCCUUCCCGAGGAUCCGCGGGUGCCGGCGCCGCCCCGGCAAUUCCAGCAGCUCCCGGCGCGGGGCCUCCAGGAAUGUCUGCUCCGGGUCUACAUCGUCCGGGCCUUCGACCUGCAGCCCAAGGACUCCAAUGGGAAGUGCGAUCCCUACGUGAAGAUUUCCGUGGGAAAGAAAUCCAUCAACGACCAGGAAAAUUACCUGCCCUGCACCCUGGAGCCUGUCUUU